rnacentral:rRNA from 1 species
UACGUAGGGUGCAAGCGUUGUCCGGAAUUAUUGGGCGUAAGAGCUCGUAGGCGGUCUGUUGCGUCGGCUGUGAAAACCCGGGGCUCAACCCCGGGCCUGCAGCCGAUACGGGCAGACUAGAGUUCGGCAGGGGAGACUGGAAUUCCUGGUGUAGCGGUGAAAUGCGCAGAUAUCAGGAGGAACACCGGUGGCGAAGGCGGGUCUCUGGAACGUUUCUGACACUGAGGCUCGAAAGCGUGGGGAGCAAACAGG